CGUUGAGCACGCUGAGGAGAGGUGGGAAGAAAAUCACAGAACGAAAACAUUUCUCAUUGUUGUACUCUCUCUCUACUCCAUCCAGCAUCUGCAUGCUCCAUGUUAAUAAACCCUCCAUCAGCAGCAGUUCCUGUGAUCCGUCUCUUCAUUUAUAACACUACGCAGACCGUGAAAGUGACAGUGGGGGUGGGGGGGGCGGUUACAGUGAUGCCGUGACCCGGAUGAAGAUCAGUUCGCCUCGGAUCUUCAUCCAAGGAUCAAUGCCGUUUGACCACCAGUGGAUGCUGCACUU